UCCCUGGUGGCUCAGAUGGUAAAGCGUCUGCCUGCAAUGCGGGAGAUCCAGGUUCGAUCCCUGGGUUGGGAA
rnacentral:tRNA from 1 species